CAGCAGCCGCGGUAAUACGAAGGGUGCAAGCGUUACUCGGAAUUACUGGGCGUAAAGCGUGCGUAGGUGGUGGUUUAAGUCCGUUGUGAAAGCCCUGGGCUCAACCUGGGAAUUGCAGUGGAUACUGGGUCACUAGAGUGUGGUAGAGGAUAGUGGAAUUUCCGGUGUAGCAGUGAAAUGCGUAGAGAUCGGAAGGAACACCUGUGGCGAAGGCGACUAUCUGGGCCAACACUGACACUGAGGCACGAAAGCGUGGGGAGCAAACAGGAUUAGAUACCCCGGUAGUCCCUGUCUCUUAUAC
rnacentral:rRNA from 1 species